AAUGUACUCCCUCCGUCCCAAAAUAAGUGACUUCAAUUUACACUAACUUUAGUACAAAGUUGAGUCAUUUUUGAGUCACUUAUUUUGGGACGGAGGGAGUAGUAU
rnacentral:pre_miRNA from 1 species